rnacentral:rRNA from 1 species
AAUGAACGCUGGCGACGUGCUUAACACAUGCAAGUUGAACGAGAAAAUCUCUUCGGAGAUGAGUAUAGUAGCGAACGGGUGAGUAACGCGUGAGAAUCUACCUUUUAGUGGGGAAUACCUUUGGGAAACUGGAGUUAAUACCGCAUAAUCCUUUUGAGGGAAAGACGGCCUCUUUGCUGUCGCUGAAAGAUGAGCUCGCGUGCUAUUAGUUAGUUGGUGGGGUAACGGCCCACCAAGACAGAGAUGGCUAUCCGGCCUGAGAGGGUGAACGGACACAUUGGGACUGAGAUACGGCCCAGACUCCUACGGGAGGCAGCAGUGGGGAAUAUUGCACAAUGGACGCAAGUCUGAUGCAGCGACGUCGCGUGGAGGAUGAAGGAUUUAGGUUCGUAAACUCCUGUUAAAUGGGAAGAAAGAGCAUACGUUAAUAGCGUGUGAAGAUGACGGUACCAUUAGAGAAAGCACCGGCUAACUUCG